rnacentral:tRNA from 2 species
GUCUUUGUAGUAUAUAAAAUACCUCGGUCUUGUAAACC